ACUAUAAGAAACUUUGAUUGGUUGUAAUUUUGCUGACCAAUCAAAUCAGCUACUACAUAUGCAGAGCCACCUAUGGUUUGACUAGUGCUGCCCCUGUCAUCUUGGGGAAAUUUUGCGGCACCCAGUCAUUCUGCUGCUGCCGUUCAAGGAGUCAACAUCUGGGAAAACUUUUAAAAAAUCAAGGGUGUCAACUUCCGAAAAUUGACGGAAAGGGUCGAAAAGUUGCGCUUGCUGAAUACUACGAAUCAUCCGGGGUUUGACGGAAAAGACCGAAAAGUUAAAACUCCGCAGCCAAUCAAAUCACUGUGAAGAGUUUGCUAGAGUUCUCUUUCCUAAGUGAGCUUGGGAAAAUCCCUGUAGACGGCACUUAUUAAUACGUCACAGUUCACAACUUUGGAAAGGAUGGCAUCACAACCGCACAGCAAAAAGCGAAUUUGCUAUUAUUAUGAUGGUGACAUUGGCAACUAUUAAUAUGGACAGGGACAUCCCAUGAAACCACACCGUAUACGCAUGACACAUAAUCUUAUUCUUAAUUAUGGUCUCUACAGAAAGAUGGAAAUAUAU